rnacentral:tRNA from 1 species
GGGCCCAUGGUCUAGUGGUCAUGACGAUUCCCUUACACGGAAUAGGUCGCCGGUUCAAAUCCGGCUGGGCCCA